rnacentral:rRNA from 1 species
UGCCAGCAGCCGCGGUAAUACGUAGGGGGCUAGCGUUAUCCGGAUUUACUGGGCGUAAAGGGUGCGUAGGCGGUCUUUCAAGUCAGGAGUUAAAGGCUACGGCUCAACCGUAGUAAGCUCCUGAUACUGUCUGACUUGAGUGCAGGAGAGGAAAGCGGAAUUCCCAGUGUAGCGGUGAAAUGCGUAGAUAUUGAGAGGAACACCAGUAGCGAAGGCGGCUUUCUGGACUGUAACUGACGCUGAGGCGAAAGCUAGGGUAGCAAAAGGGAUUAGAUG